GGUUAAGCGACUAAGCGUACACGGUGGAUGCCCUGGCAGUCAGAGGCGAUGAAGGACGUGCUAAUCUGCGAUAAGCGUCGGUAAGGUGAUAUGAACCGUUAUAACCGGCGAUUUCCGAAUGGGGAAACCCAGUGUGUUUCGACACACUAUCAUUAACUGAAUCCAUAGGUUAAUGAGGCGAACCGGGGGAACUGAAACAUCUAAGUACCCCGAGGAAAAGAAAUCAACCGAGAUUCCCCCAGUAGCGGCGAGCGAACGGGGAGCAGCCCAGAGCCUGAAUCAGUGUGUGUGUUAGUGGAAGCGUCUGGAAAGGCGCGCGAUACAGGGUGACAGCCCCGUACACAAAAAUGCACAUGCUGUGAGCUCGAUGAGUAGGGCGGGACACGUGGUAUCCUGUCUGAAUAUGGGGGGACCAUCCUCCAAGGCUAAAUACUCCUGACUGACCGAUAGUGAACCAGUACCGUGAGGGAAAGGCGAAAAGAACCCCGGCGAGGGGAGUGAAAAAGAACCUGAAACCGUGUACGUACAAGCAGUGGGAGCACGCUUAGGCGUGUGACUGCGUACCUUUUGUAUAAUGGGUCAGCGACUUAUAUUCUGUAGCAAGGUUAACCGAAUAGGGGAGCCGAAGGGAAACCGAGUCUUAACUGGGCGUUAAGUUGCAGGGUAUAGACCCGAAACCCGGUGAUCUAGCCAUGGGCAGGUUGAAGGUUGGGUAACACUAACUGGAGGACCGAACCGACUAAUGUUGAAAAAUUAGCGGAUGACUUGUGGCUGGGGGUGAAAGGCCAAUCAAACCGGGAGAUAGCUGGUUCUCCCCGAAAGCUAUUUAGGUAGCGCCUCGUGAAUUCAUCUCCGGGGGUAGAGCACUGUUUCGGCAAGGGGGUCAUCCCGACUUACCAACCCGAUGCAAACUGCGAAUACCGGAGAAUGUUAUCACGGGAGACACACGGCGGGUGCUAACGUCCGUCGUGAAGAGGGAAACAACCCAGACCGCCAGCUAAGGUCCCAAAGUCAUGGUUAAGUGGGAAACGAUGUGGGAAGGCCCAGACAGCCAGGAUGUUGGCUUAGAAGCAGCCAUCAUUUAAAGAAAGCGUAAUAGCUCACUGGUCGAGUCGGCCUGCGCGGAAGAUGUAACGGGGCUAAACCAUGCACCGAAGCUGCGGCAGCGACACUAUGUGUUGUUGGGUAGGGGAGCGUUCUGUAAGCCUGUGAAGGUGUACUGUGAGGUAUGCUGGAGGUAUCAGAAGUGCGAAUGCUGACAUAAGUAACGAUAAAGCGGGUGAAAAGCCCGCUCGCCGGAAGACCAAGGGUUCCUGUCCAACGUUAAUCGGGGCAGGGUGAGUCGACCCCUAAGGCGAGGCCGAAAGGCGUAGUCGAUGGGAAACAGGUUAAUAUUCCUGUACUUGGUGUUACUGCGAAGGGGGGACGGAGAAGGCUAUGUUGGCCGGGCGACGGUUGUCCCGGUUUAAGCGUGUAGGCUGGUUUUCCAGGCAAAUCCGGAAAAUCAAGGCUGAGGCGUGAUGACGAGGCACUACGGUGCUGAAGCAACAAAUGCCCUGCUUCCAGGAAAAGCCUCUAAGCAUCAGGUAACAUCAAAUCGUACCCCAAACCGACACAGGUGGUCAGGUAGAGAAUACCAAGGCGCUUGAGAGAACUCGGGUGAAGGAACUAGGCAAAAUGGUGCCGUAACUUCGGGAGAAGGCACGCUGAUAUGUAGGUGAAGUCCCUCGCGGAUGGAGCUGAAAUCAGUCGAAGAUACCAGCUGGCUGCAACUGUUUAUUAAAAACACAGCACUGUGCAAACACGAAAGUGGACGUAUACGGUGUGACGCCUGCCCGGUGCCGGAAGGUUAAUUGAUGGGGUCAGCGCAAGCGAAGCUCUUGAUCGAAGCCCCGGUAAACGGCGGCCGUAACUAUAACGGUCCUAAGGUAGCGAAAUUCCUUGUCGGGUAAGUUCCGACCUGCACGAAUGGCGUAAUGAUGGCCAGGCUGUCUCCACCCGAGACUCAGUGAAAUUGAACUCGCUGUGAAGAUGCAGUGUACCCGCGGCAAGACGGAAAGACCCCGUGAACCUUUACUAUAGCUUGACACUGAACAUUGAGCCUUGAUGUGUAGGAUAGGUGGGAGGCUUUGAAGUGUGGACGCCAGUCUGCAUGGAGCCGACCUUGAAAUACCACCCUUUAAUGUUUGAUGUUCUAACGUUGACCCGUGAUCCGGGUUGCGGACAGUGUCUGGUGGGUAGUUUGACUGGGGCGGUCUCCUCCUAAAGAGUAACGGAGGAGCACGAAGGUUGGCUAAUCCUGGUCGGACAUCAGGAGGUUAGUGCAAUGGCAUAAGCCAGCUUGACUGCGAGCGUGACGGCGCGAGCAGGUGCGAAAGCAGGUCAUAGUGAUCCGGUGGUUCUGAAUGGAAGGGCCAUCGCUCAACGGAUAAAAGGUACUCCGGGGAUAACAGGCUGAUACCGCCCAAGAGUUCAUAUCGACGGCGGUGUUUGGCACCUCGAUGUCGGCUCAUCACAUCCUGGGGCUGAAGUAGGUCCCAAGGGUAUGGCUGUUCGCCAUUUAAAGUGGUACGCGAGCUGGGUUUAGAACGUCGUGAGACAGUUCGGUCCCUAUCUGCCGUGGGCGCUGGAGAACUGAGGGGGGCUGCUCCUAGUACGAGAGGACCGGAGUGGACGCAUCACUGGUGUUCGGGUUGUCAUGCCAAUGGCACUGCCCGGUAGCUAAAUGCGGAAGAGAUAAGUGCUGAAAGCAUCUAAGCACGAAACUUGCCCCGAGAUGAGUUCUCCCUGACCCUUUAAGGGUCCUGAAGGAACGUUGAAGACGACGACGUUGAUAGGCCGGGUGUGUAAGCGCAGCGAUGCGUUGAGCUAACCGGUACUAAUGAACCGUGAGGCUUAACCUU
rnacentral:rRNA from 1 species